rnacentral:lncRNA from 1 species
AAUAACUCUACAUGGACCAAGCAAGUGUAAAUGACAAUAUUGCCAUUAAUGAAAAUGCAUUCUCAACCACUAAAUCACUUCACAUCUCCUUUAGGACGUUAAUCUGAUAUGGACCAAAAGCGUAAAAAAUAAUCUAUUACCUCCUAUUUUAAUCUAUAUGGACCACUUCAGGUGAAUUUAUACUUAUACCCUUAAUAAUUUUUUUGUCUUUUACCUCUCCAACCAACCAAUCAAGAAACACUUGGACCCACU